rnacentral:lncRNA from 1 species
UGUAAUAUAAUGAACUAUUUUUUUUAAAAUUUUUAUUAAUAAAAAACGUGUAGGGGGCUUUUUCCCCACUUACUUACCCAAAAAAAAAAAGAAAGAAGUAUGCUAUCUAUUUACUCCUUGGGGUAAAAUACAUGCUAGGGAUACUUUAUAGAUCUCAAAUUUCGGGGGUAUAAUCUCUACAACCCAUAGAAUAAUCUCAAUAAAAAAAAUAGUGAUUUACAUACGGAUCUCAAAAUUUUAGGUAAAAUACGAAAUGUUUCACUUAUAUGCAGAAAUUAUAAAGAAGGCUGGUCAACCCAUAUUUUUUAUUUUUUAAAAAAUUGCCCCUUAGUCAAUCCGAUAUAUAUAUAUAUAUAUAUAUAUUAACUUUUUUGUGAGCUAUUUCAUUAAUAAGGCAGUGAGUUAAAGCUUAGGGCACUGCCCUACUAAUGAAAAAAAUACAAAAGAAAAUCAAAAUUGGGGUUGAUCAAGGCCCAAUUGUACA